rnacentral:rRNA from 1 species
ACGAACGCUGGCGGCGUGCCUAAUACAUGCAAGUAGAACGCUGAAGAGAGGAGCUUGCUCUUCUUGGAUGAGUUGCGAACGGGUGAGUAACGCGUAGGUAACCUGCCUUGUAGCGGGGGAUAACUAUUGGAAACGAUAGCUAAUACCGCAUAACAAUGGAUGACACAUGUCAUUUAUUUGAAAGGGGCAAUUGCUCCACUACAAGAUGGACCUGCGUUGUAUUAGCUAGUAGGUGAGGUAACGGCUCACCUAGGCGACGAUACAUAGCCGACCUGAGAGGGUGAUCGGCCACACUGGGACUGAGACACGGCCCAGACUCCUACGGGAAGCAGCAGUAGGGAAUCUUCGGCAAUGGGCGCGACCCUGACCGAGAAACGCCGCGUGAGUGAAGAAGGUUUUCGGAUCGUAAAGCUCUGUUGUAAGUCAAGAACGAGUGUGAGAGUGGAAAGUUCACACUGUGACGGUAGCUUACCAGAAAGGGACGGCUAACUACGUG